GUGAAUCCUGAAACAAGUGUAACAUUUCUACGUUAUAAUAAUAGUAUUGUUAUAGUAUUGUUGGGGCUAACUGGAAACAAGGUUUGCAAAUUUUUCUAAACAUGAUAGGUGAGAAUAAAUGUAAUAAUGGGGAAUUGCAAAGAGCAAUUUCCGAAGCAGAGAGAGACGACACGGAGAUUCUAUCUUUGCAAUUUUUCUCUAUCGUUACCUCGCCUCUCAAUUAUGUGCCAUUACGCGACGGCACAUUGGUGAUAUCGGCGAAUCGUUCGACGAUAAUGAAUUAUGCAAAACCGUGCGACAAGAGCGGUUGUCGUCAUUGGCUGCGAAUUCCGAAACAUCGUACCACGAUUGGCGCGUGGCCAAAGGUCUCUUUUCACGCGAAAUGCGCGAUAAACCCUCAUCUCUGCAUGUCGCGCGAACGAUUCCGCAUGUAAUGUACGCGUGUCAUGUCCACGAACGUUACAACAGACAUUUUGUCUCGUGCUCCGAUCGAUGAUAUCGUCUAUCCAUGAUCGGCCGUAGUAGAGGAAUCAAUUUUCUUACUUUCCUUUAGUUGCCUAGAAUAGAAGAACAAGGAUCGCGUGCGCAAAAAGGACUGGUUGCUUUUUUCUCCAAUUUUUUCCCAAUCGGAAAAGCUGCCAAUUUCGUCCGCCGAUCCUAAUCUUUCUGCAUGGCGCGUAAAAUCACGACGGUCGAAAUCACCUGGCGGACGAGUGACAGAGAGAAGAGGGCGGUUUUCAUCUAUUGUAACCCUCGUAACUGUGAGUCGGCGGCACCGCCAAAAGACGAGGGAUGCUCCGACAGUUGUGAGAAUACGAUGCAUUUAGCCGAAAAAUGUGCAACUUGGCGAGGCCGAAUCAGAGGCAAGGGUUCACGAGCGAGGAGGUAAUUCUCACGCUCGAAUAUAUUCAGCAAUUGUUACGAUUCUCUCUACUUGAAUCUCAAUCUACGUUUGUCUCUCCGCUAAUUUGUUGUAUCGAUAAAACAUGAAAUCUGGCAAUGUAUCAUACUUGAUAAAUGUACGUAUAGAAUAGCAAGAACGUGCAUGGUGUGUCGGACUUGCACCCUCGUGGAGGUAAUCCCCCCCUUUUCGGGCUGCCUUCUCGUCGAGACACUCGAGGCAUUCAUCAAGCAACGGUCGUUUUUCGCGACAAUUGCCGAGCAAUAAUUACAUAAUUCACCCUUGGCCACACUUGGCACCCGGCUUGGCGCUAGGAGGGACCGUCGCGAAGAUGGCUGAAACCACGAGGCGGCAGAAGGAACGACGUAACUGCUUCGCGUCAAGCAACACGUAUUAUAGAUCUUAUUUAGGCAGCAAUUUGUCGACGAAAAAAAAAAACAAGAUUUUAAUCUGAAAAA